GAACAGACGGUCUAUUCGCCGAACGAAAUUCGAACAGUGCAGUUCUCAAAAGAUCUGAGGAAUUAUAGAAUGUCUGCAUCCGCCACAGCAAUUAACCGUGUUUUUGCGUAAGAAGUAUGCGUAGAAGGCGUAAGCGCAGGAAGAUGCGUGCAAUCGUAAUUAGAAAUGUGCAAAUUGUAUCCAAAAAUGGCAAGUCGAGUUUGCUCUGUUAGCUCUCAGCUAAAAUUUAAUAAAAGGAACACCACGAGGUAGCAGCAAACAACUGCAUUAAAAUGAAGUGGAAAAUUCUAGUUUGGAUGGUUUUUUACCAGACCGAACACACGUGUUCAAAAGUAAGAUGUUCUAUAUGAGAGAAGAUUUACUGGAUUUGGAUCUCAGCAUAGAUUGACCGUCAUAAAGGGGAUAUGACUAACAUUCAGCUUAAUUCCUGAGACGAUAAAAAUCCAGGAAUUGAUUGAAAAACUUCAACUUAGCUCGCAACAUAAGUCACGGAUCUCUCUUCUUAGAUAGAAGGGUACCAGAAGAAAACAACGAAAUGCCAACUCAGUUGAAACUAUAAGGAGAUGGGUACUGACGUUGUGGCUGCCAACUUUGCAAAACAUCAGCAUAGAUUGGGAUGAAUGUUUCCUCAAUAUAAACAUGACUUCAUAAUUCAAAGACAAACCCAGAUGAAGUGCCUAUAAAAUCAUGACAACUGAUUUUAAAUGAUUUACCAAAAUGAUACCUAUAACAUUAAAUGUUAUUCAAGCUGCAGAAGAACGUCGAUUAUAAAAAAGAUGUCCGGAUUGCAGUUGGAAACCCUUAUUGAACGAUAAUGGUCUAAAAAUUUAAGGCAUCUUCUACAUUUUUGAGAAAUCCGGAUUGCAAGUUCUUACCGACUUAACAAAAAAUUAAGGCAUCUUGGGAAUACGUCGGGAAAAUAUUCACUAGCCAGUCGGCCUAUAAAGAUGAUAAUACCCCAACAACUCCUUGUCUUUAUUUGGCUUUGUGAUUCAUCUUAGACGUUGUGAUAUUCCACGGAUUGCGAAGAAACCCCAAAAAUAUUCUAAAAAUAAUACUGAUGUAUCUUAUCUAUGAAUAAAAAUACAAAAGAUUUUGUUUAAUAUAACGUGA